rnacentral:lncRNA from 1 species
CUGCCUUCCAGGAAGUAAGGCUCUGCUUCCCAGGCAGGAGAGUCUGUUUUGUCUGUGGGCCCAGGGGAACCACUUUCUCUUCUGGGAGCCUCAGUGAGGAGCGACACCAGCAAACUGGCAGCAGGUCAGGCGGAAGGCCAGCAUGGUGCUCCCAUGCGGUGCUCUCUCCUGGACUCCCUUGGUCCCCCAAGAAGCUCUCCUGCUGCCAACCUCAGCAGGUGGUUGCUAAACACAGAACUCAGAAGGGCUUCUAGAAGUGGUGUUUAGAACAGAUGGGGACCCCGUCGCCCUCAUGGCCAUGUGUGGGAUAAGCAGGUGGUUUUAAAGCUUGUACAGCUGAAGGGGCUGCGUGGUCUCAGGACACACUGGAAAUGAAAGUCAGGACAUAUAGGGGCAGACCGCACCACCAGGACCGUGAUCUCCAAAUGGUGCCUCUGGCCUCAAGGAGAAGGUGUGCACGGAGGCUUGUUCUGGCAACGAAGAAAGGCGAAGAAAGGCAGGCUAUGUGCUGGCUCCUGUGCUGGGCAGGGAGAGGGGCUCAAGUACUAGGAGACACUGUCCGUCCUGAAGGGACUCCCAGCGUAGGAGGCAAACCCGAUAGCCGGAGAAACAACCGUCCUCACAGUUGCGCGCCGUAGCAGCGGCUGUAGGCCACACCUGCUCAAAGGUGUUGGCCCAUUUAUUUUUCUCAACUCUCGGGGGCAGGAAUGAAAUAUGUGGCGAAUGUUUACAUUAAAAUGUGAUCACAGGACAAGACACGUGGUCAUCAGCCCUCUCUCAUCCCACUGUUUUUGUCACUUUCUGCAGCAGCUCUGGCCGUCUGCUUCCUGAGUGUCUUUGUGAGUUGUGAUCACAAACGCAGCAGGGAGCGCUGCUGAGGAGAGCCAGCCAGUGGGGGCUGGGUGAUCUGUGUCCCCUUUAUAGGCCAGGCCUGGCGCUGUGUGACUCCCGGCUCCUUCCCAACGUCGAAAUGCUAAAGAAAAGUAAAUAUUUCGAUUCGAUUCAGGACAGCAAGGCAGCCGCAACAGCACGACUCAGUGGAAGUGGUAAGAAUGCUGGGAUAAACGUCUUCAAACCAAAAGAGGAGUAUUUUGAGGCAGAUCAGUGCCCAUGGAUCUUGUACUGUGACAAUUUUUU